rnacentral:rRNA from 2 species
UACGGAGGAUCCGAGCGUUAUCCGGAUUUAUUGGGUUUAAAGGGAGCGUAGGCGGACGCUUAAGUCAGUUGUGAAAGUUUGCGGCUCAACCGUAAAAUUGCAGUUGAUACUGGGUGUCUUGAGUACAGUAGAGGCAGGCGGAAUUCGUGGUGUAGCGGUGAAAUGCUUAGAUAUCACGAAGAACUCCGAUUGCGAAGGCAGCUUGCUGGACUGUAACUGACGCUGAUGCUCGAAAGUGUGGGUAUCAAACAGG